rnacentral:rRNA from 1 species
UACGGGGGGAGCAAGCGUUGUUCGGAUUUACUGGGCGUAAAGGGCGCGUAGGCGGUCAGCACAAGUCAGUUGUGAAAUCUCCGGGCUUAACUCGGAAAGGUCAACUGAUACUGUGCGACUAGAGUGCAGAAGGGGCAACUGGAAUUCUCGGUGUAGCGGUGAAAUGCGUAGAUAUCGAGAGGAACACCUGCGGCGAAGGCGGCAUACUGGACCACAUCUGACGCUGAGGCGCGAAAGCCAGGGGAGCAAACGGG